rnacentral:rRNA from 1 species
UAAUGUAUGGGGAUCUGCCUGAUGGCGGGGGAUAACUACUGGAAACGGUAGCUAAUACCGCAUAAUGUCUGCGGACCAAAGCGGGGGACCUCCGGGCCUCGCGCCAUCAGAUGUGCCCAGAUGGGAUUAGCUAGUAGGUGGGGUAACGGCUCACCUAGGCGACGAUCCCUAGCUGGUCUGAGAGGAUGACCAGCCACACUGGAACUGAGACACGGUCCAG